rnacentral:rRNA from 1 species
GGCGGCGUGCCUAAUACAUGCAAGUAGAACGCUGAAGAGAGGAGCUUGCUCUUCUUGGAUGAGUUGCGAACGGGUGAGUAACGCGUAGGUAACCUGCCUGGUAGCGGGGGAUAACUAUUGGAAACGAUAGCUAAUACCGCAUAAUAGUAGAUGUUGCAUGACAUUUGCUUAAAAGGUGCAAUUGCAUCACUACCAGAUGGACCUGCGUUGUAUUAGCUAGUUGGUGAGGUAACGGCUCACCAAGGCAACGAUACAUAGCCGACCUGAGAGGGUGAUCGGCCACACUGGGACUGAGACACGGCCCAGACUCCUACGGGAGGCAGCAGUAGGGAAUCUUCGGCAAUGGACGGAAGUCUGACCGAGCAACGCCGCGUGAGUGAAGAGGGUUUUCGGAUCGUAAAGCUCUGUUGUAAGAGAAGAACGAGUGUGAGAAGUGGAAA